CCUGGGCUCAAUCAAUCCUCCUGCCUUGGCCUUCCAAAGUACUGGGAUUGCAGGUGUGAGCCACUGUACUCAGCCUGAUUUAUCUUUUGAUGGGCUUGUACUCAAGAGAGGGUCUGAGUCUACUGUAAGUCUAUUUCUCUUUAGCAAAUGCAAGAUGCUCUGUCCAUUUUGGUACUGUAAAUCUUCACUUAAUGUCAGAAUAGGUGUUUAGAAACUAAGACUUUAAGUGAAAUAAGGUACUGCUGUGCUCAAUUAACAUUAUUUUGUUAUAACAUUGAUGAGAAAAGUAUUGGUUUUGUUAUACAUCAUUCUGCUUAAAGUCACAGUUUCAAGAACCUAUCUAUGAUGUUAAGUGAGAACUUAUUAUGUAUCAUUUGCCUUUUGUAAAACUAUUUAUAUUUCUAAACUCAUAACUUAGAAAAAUUAAUAUAUUUUUGUUUAAGUUAAUGAUAGGCCAUCUGGAGGAUGUAAUAGUUUUUCAGAAUAUGCUAGGAGUUAACCAUUUUUUAGUUGCCAUGAAAACUCAUUUUAUCAAAUCAUUUAUUUAUUUGACAAAUAGGUUUGAAUGCUUUCUUUUUGCCAGAUACUGUGCUGAAAUGUCUUUCAGAAUCUUCACUGCUUAUUAUGUAGCAUAGACACUCCUGGGGAGAGGGCUGUCAUGUGAACUUGCAUGUUCUAUUGUUUGUUUCAGUUUUUAUUUAGCAGCUUAAAAAAUGUCUUCUAGUCCCAGGUCCAAAACCUUUAAAAUAUGAUAUUGUAUCUCCUCCCAUAGAAAGGUGGAGUCUGUCUCCCUAUCCUUUGAAUCCGGACUGGCCUCGUCACUUGCAUUGGACAAGGUAUAUGGCAGAAGUGAUGACGUGCCUGUUUUGAGUUUAGAUCGUUGGACGUCUUGAAUGCUUCCUCUUUCUUUCUCAGAUCUCUGCAGCUACUCUGUGAAUUGGUCUGUACGGGCCCACUGGAGUACAGAUGAGCCAUUUCAGCUGAGCCUACAAGAAACAUCCAGCUAAACCUAGCCGAAAUCGCCAACUUGCAGAAUUGUAAGCUAAAUAAAUGACUGCAAGCCAUUAAGUUCUGAGAAUCUGGGCUAUCCUUGUGACUUGCUUUGACUAACAGAAUGUGACAGAAUGACGUUGUGCAACAUCUGAAUCGAGACUCAAAAAACUGUAGGCAGCCAUCAUGCUGUGAACCCAAGCUGUGUGGAGAGACUAAGUGGAGAGGCUGAGUCUUGCAAUGUUGGUGAUGUUGGUCUUGAACUCGGCCUCAAGCAAUCCUCCCUCCCAGCUUCCCAAAGUGCUGGGAUUAGAGGCGUGAGUCACCACACUGGGCCUGAUCAUAUAUGUUUAAAAGAACAAUGUAUUUUUUGCUUGCAGGCUGCAAUGUGGAUAUACACUUACUAAAUGAAAUCCAUUAACUGUGUUUUCUAUAAUCUUACAAUUUUUUUCUUUGCUUUAUCUAUCAGUUCCUGGUAGAGGUAUAUUAUUGCAUAUUUGUCUCUUUCUUUUUAACAUUAUGAAACUGUAUUUCAAAUCAAUUUGUUAGGUACACACUAACUUAUGAUAAUUGUAUAAUUUUUGAUAGAUUGUAGUCUUUAUCUCUAGAUAUCGUAACCUCUUAUCGUUAUUGCUUUUAUUCUUAAUUUGUUUUCUCUAAAAUUCUCAUUAUUACAUGUCUUCUUUUGGUUGAUACAGUAUUUGUGUUUUAUAACUUAUCCUAUCCUAUUUAAAAUAUUCAGUAUUGUCCUAUUUCAAAUAUUCGGUAUUAUCCAGUAAUGUUCUAUUAUAAAAAUUUUUAACAGGAUUUAGAAAAAUGAAGCUGAUCAUCUUUAUCAUUUUUAAUUAGUGAGUUUAAUACAUUCAAGUACAUUGAUAUUACUGGUGCACAUUUGCAGUUAUUUCUAUUAUUAAUUAAACUUUAAAAAAUAUUUUUUCCUUUUUUACAUACAAGUUGAAUUGAUGAACCUUUUUCUUUUUCAUUUUUCUGCUACUUUGGAAGUCAUAUUAUAUCUUUUAGUGUUUGUUCAAAUUCUUAAACAUACACAAUUAGCCACAAAAUUUUCUAACAAGAUCCAGACUCAAUCAAUAUCUUCAUCUUUUCUCUGGAUAGUAUAAGAAAUGUUUCAUGUUUUAACUGCCAACUGAACAAUAUUCAACCUCUCAUUGUUUAGACUUUUUUCCACAUCUGUCAUAAGAACACAUUUUUAAUAUGAUUAUAUUUACUCCUUAUAGUUAAUAUUUGAUUAAAUUUACCAACACAUUUUUAUCAGUUUUGGCAGUUAUAACUUGUUUCUGUCAUUUGAGUCCUUUGUGUUCAUUGUACAUUCUGCUGAUGAACAUCCUUUACAGAUUCUUUCAGAAAGUGUCUAUAGAUGACAAGAUCUUAAUCUUUGUAUUUCUGUAAAUAUGAACAAACAUUUUAAUUUUUCUUAGAUAAAAGUCCAAAUUCAUUUCCAUCCUAUUAUCAUCUAUAAUAUUCACAUCAAAUGUCCAGGGAUAAUUAAGCUAAUAACUCACAAAAUUUACGUGAGACUUCCAGAUUGCAGGACACUUAUGAAAUAAAACUGAAGUGAACUAAAUAGACCUUCAUGUUAUUUUUAUUAUUUUCCGAGAUAAGAAAACAGAAGUUAUUUUGUAAAGGCAAAAAUUUUUUAAAUGGAAAUUGUAAUUUUAUAUUAAUAUUAUUUUGUUUCAUUACAUUUGGUUCUAGUUAUGAUUAACUUCUGAAAAUGAUCACUUUUUUCUUCUUUGAAUUUCUCUUAACCAUCUGUAAAAAUAUUUCUAUAAAGAUAAUAAAAAGAAGUGAAAUGCAGUUGUUAAAUAGAAAAAUAUAUAUGCAGUUUCAUUAAGUACAAGUAUCAAUGGCUCUGGAGCAAUCUUGUUCUUACUCUUUUAUAAAUCAAAGCUCUUUGAACAUGCAUUUUUGCAAGCUUGCUUUCAGCGUUAGAUUUUUCUCUUUGUAUUUUCUGAGGAGAAUUUUUAAAAAAUAGAAUAUUAUUUCCUCUUGGAAAGGUACAUCAUUACUCAGUGGCAUAUUGUUCAAAUGUCCAAAAGUUGUUCUUAGAAGGUCUUGUUUUGCUAGAUUCAUAUAUUUUUGUGAGGAAAAAGGAAGCUAAGAAAACAUACCAAAGAGUCCAUCAUACUAGACAACACAUAUUGGCAACUACUCUCUCUCUAUACACACACACAUAUAUAUAAAAUAUAUAUACACACAUAGAUACACGUACAUAUAUACAUAUAUAUGUACACACACACAUAUAUAUAAUUUAAGUUGAUAUAUAUAAGUAUAUAUAUAUUGAACCUUGUCAAAAUGCAUUAUUAUUUGCAAGGUUUUCUUAAAUUUCAUAAAGAGGUGAGCUGGAUUUCCCCUUAUACUGAGGAUUGCCUUUUGUGGUGAUAGUUAAAAACUGCCUAUGUAUACAUGAUAAAACCCAACUGUAAUAAAAAAAAGAUUGCUUUCUGUAAAUUCAUUUGAAAGGGUUCUGCUUAAAAUAAUGUUUUAUAAAGAUGAUGUGCUUUUUAUGAAAAGUCAUAAGUUUACCACCUUUACAUUAUAUUAGACAUUGCAUCAUGCUUUGUGAAAUGUAUCAUUAAAAUUGCAUCUUGAGUCCUUGUUGUUCAGCAAUUGAUUUUCUUUUGGGGAGUGCAUCGACACUGAAAUACAUAAUGUCAUCAGAAACAUAUGGAAGGAAACUGAACUGAUAGGCUAUUCCGCAUACUGCAUGGAAUUUUCUCAAGUUAUUUGGGCAAGUCUCACAGAAAGAAAACAUCCCAAAUACCCACAAUAAUCUAGAUGUACACACCUCAGAGGUAUUCUCAGAUAUAUAUAAGAAUGCUAUCAUUAUAAUUUAAUACUCAAGUAGAUAUUUGUACUAAAGAGAGACGUUCCAAAAACAUUCUGAAUUUAAUUGUAAAACAAAGACACCUAAGUCUUGGAAGAAUUAAAGUAGAAUUGGAAACCAAGUAUUCUUUCUUCAAUCUAAAGCAUAACGUCGUUUCACUGGGUAUACAUUCCACUAAAAUGAGUGAACAAUUGACACUGGAAAACUCGAAGCUUAGGUCUGGUUGACUUGGCAAUGUCAGACAUCCUCAUUUGAUGAUGUCAGCUGCCCAGAAGGAGUCAAAGUGGAAAGGAGUGCUCCUCUUUCCCUCUCCAUUGCUUUGGUCUCAACACUCCUAAAGGGAAGAGCUGUCCAUUCCUGUGACUCUCCAACCCUACCUGUUAAGUUCCUUAAAAAUUUAUUGGGCAUCCGUCUUAGUCCAUUUGUGAUGCUCUAAAGGUAUUUCUGAGACUGAGCAAUUUGUAAAGAAAAGAGAUUUGUUUGGCUUGCGGUUAUAUAAUCUGCAGGGUUAUACAAGAAGCAUGGUGCCACCAUUCGUUUCUGGUAAGGGCUUCAGGGAGCUUCCAUUCCUUGCAGAAAGGGAAGGAGAGCCAGCAUCACAUGGCAAGAGAGUAGGAAAAAGAGAAAGAGAGAGAGAGAGAGAGAGGAAAGGGGUGCCAUAUUCUUUAAAACAACCAGUUCUCUUGGGAACAAAAUAGAGCAAGAACUCACUCAUUACUGAAAGGAUAGCACCAAGCCAUUUUUGAAGGGUUCAUCCCCGUGAUCCAAACACCUUCCACCAGGCCCCACCUCCAAAGAAUCAAAUUUUAACAUGAGAUUUGGAGGAGACAAAUAUCUAAACUAUAUCAACAUUUAUAUAUUCCAUGCAUUGCACUUGGUGCUGGAGUACAGAGUAUGUAAAGAUGAGUAAUAGGAAAGCAGGCUUUUUUUUUUUUUUUUAAGUUGUUCACUUCUCUAUCCCCAGUCCUUAGUACAUUGUGUGGCAUGCAUUAAAACAGGAUCAAUAAGUUUGUGUUGAAUAAAUGAAGGAAAGUUUCUAAAGUAGACUAAAUACGAUAAUAAAUUCUUUGGUUUUCCUCGUUAAGAGAUGAGUCUGAUUUCCUUUUUCUUCGAUUUGGGUUGGCCUUAGUGAAUUGUUUGAACAAUAUAACAUGAAUAAACUGGUGUUCUGAGGCUUCCAAAGCUGGGUCUUUAGAAGCCAUGCAAUUUAUCUCUGUGCUUGUUUGAAUAAUCACUGUGGGAGCCCUGGAACAACCUUGAAGAAAUUCUACUACCCUGAGACCACCGUGCAGAUUGGCCAUUUGUAGGCAUUCCAGUGGAUAAUACCAGCUGAGCCAAACCUUCCAGCCAUUCCCUCCCAUACACUAAACAAAUGAAUGAGGCUGGCUUGGAUUCUUCUGGCCAACCCAUCCACCAGCUGAUACCUGCAAGAUCUAAGCUGACACAGUACAUGGAGCAAGAAAAUUGCCCAGAUGAGUGCUGUCCAAAUUAUUGACACACAAAAUUGUGGGACAAUAUAAUGUUGUUAUUUUAAGUAGCUAAAUAUUGGAGUUGUUUAUUACACAGCAAUAAAUAACUGAAACAGCUGCUAAAGGAUUACAGUUUUGGUGGAUGUGAGGAAAGGUAGAAAGAAUCUCAGUGAUGCAGAUAUAUACAGAUAUUUAUAAUCCAAAAUAUUAUUUUCUAAAUCAGAGUUUUGCGUAGGGGGCUAUGUGAAAGCCUGAAAGAGAUAAUCAACUCAACUUAGGAGGCAGAAUAUUUAUUCCUUGAAAGAAAUGAGGUCCAAGCUAAUGCACCUCUUUUGAGGGAGAAAUGAAUGAAAAUGUGACAUGUCACAUGACAGUUUCUCUUUUCUGAUUUAGAUCACAUUUUUGUUAAUGAAUGCAAUAAAUGAUAAUUACCUUUUUUCACUAAAAUAAUAAGAAUCUGAUCCCUCAGAGCUAUUCUGGGGGAUAUUGGAGACUAACCGUCCAAAAUGAGGUCACAAGUCCUGAGAUACAGUGGUUGAUUAUGUGGAAUUGACCCAGCUGCUGAGAAAGAGGCAAAGCAUGGGUUAUCCUCAGUAUUUGGUAUCAUGGAAAUCUAGGCGGAAUAAUGGUAUUUUUUUUUGCAGUAGUUGAGGAGCAAUAUUUUUGGGCAAUGUCUGGUACAUUGUUUAGGCCUUUGGCAAGCUUGUUUACAUCAAAAGUUCAUGGAUCACCUUCAGACAAGAUAUUCAGAGUCUGUCAGUAUAGAGAGGUAUCAUUUGUGUCUGGGGAAGAAUUGAAAAUUUCUGAAUCAGUGAUGCUGAAAUACUACAGAUAGAUCACAAAUUAAAUUUGGAGGUGGUAGACUUGUUUCUUCUACUGUAAACAGAGUGACCUAGCAUUUUAAACAGUGAUUUAUGAAGUAUCUCCCAUUUCUAAGUUUAUAGGAGUCUACAACUCCCACAAUUCUUUCUUGUGCUACUGUGAGUACUGUGAGUUCUUAGGCCACAAUUUUAUGCCAUUUAACAACUUUGGAGUUCCUCAUACUCAACUUCCAAUGGAGAUUUAAUGCUGCUGCCUCUGGGAAGCAGUGAACACUUCCUUGAACUGCAGAUCUUUAUCGACUGCAUUAGUCUUCAAUGUAGAUUCUCUUUCACCUCCCAAAACCAGCGCAUUUGAAUUUCUAAUGACAGUAUAUGAAGUACAUCUUACAUCUCUUCCCAGGGCUGCAGUUGAACAUACCAGUACUCUCAGAUGUAGAGAAGUAAUUGGAAACUAGCCAUUCAGUCUUUCUCAAAGUUCAGACACAAUGACCGGAUUUCCCCCUUCUGUACCAUUUGGCUUUUAUUUUUAGCUCAGGUUGAACUGGAGGUAGGUGGGGAGAAUUUUUCAAAGCAAAGUGAAUAUUGUUAUAGGAUUAUGACACUGGAGUGGACAUUCAAUUAUCAGUGAAAGACUGUUCUUAAGUCUGAAGCGACUGGAGGCCUUUUCAGUCUAGAAAGAGUUAGUCGUAAGUUGUGCUUGAGAUGGGCAAUGGGGGAAAAAUAAAGUUUUCUUUUUUGGGAGAUUAAAAAGAUAUGGUUGGUCUUACACAAGUUGUGGCUGUUGUGCACAGGAGCUAGCAAGGACUCCACUUUGGCUGCAGCUGGAGGCUGGUGUAGGAGAAUCAACAGAGUUUCCCCUAAUUGAAUGACAAGGCGGAGAACCAUCUGCAUAGGACCUAGGAUACCAGGGGAAGAAAUCUGGAUACUAUUUCAAGGUAUUUGGGAAUAAAAAAAUAUAUUUGAGCAGGAAAAUAAUAAAAUUAAUGUAGUAUUUUAAGGUCAAAUCUAGAAGAUAUUUAACAUAUGUUGAGCACUGACUAAAUAUGCCAAAUAGUUUUUAUACAUUAUUUACUUAAAUAACACUAUAAAGAAAUAUUUGCUUCAUUUUGUAGAUGAGAAAAUUUAACUUUGGAUUAGUAAACAAGCUUACCCGACAUCACACAUCUGGCAAGUGGAAAAAACAAGAUUUAACCCCAAUUUACCUAAUUCCAAAGACGGUGCUCUUCCAUGAGGCUAGGCAUGUGUCUAAGAAAUGAAUUAGUUAA